UACGAAGGGUGCAAGCGUUACUCGGAAUUACUGGGCGUAAAGCGUGCGUAGGUGGUUUGUUAAGUCUGUUGUGAAAGCCCCGGGCUCAACCUGGGAAUGGCAAUGGAUACUGGCAAGCUAGAGUGCGGUAGAGGGUGAGUGGAAUUCCCGGUGUAGCGGUGAAAAUGCGUAGAGAUCGGGAGGAACACCAGUGGCGAAGGCGGCUACCUGGACCAGCACUGACACUGAGGCACGAAAGCGUGGGGAGCAAACAGGG
rnacentral:rRNA from 1 species